rnacentral:rRNA from 2 species
ACGGGUGAGUAAUACAUCGGAACAUGUCCUGUAGUGGGGGAUAGCCCGGCGAAAGCCGGAUUAAUACCGCAUACGAUCUACGGAUGAAAGCGGGGGACCUUCGGGCCUCGCGCUAUAGGGUUGGCCGAUGGCUGAUUAGCUAGUUGGUGGGGUAAAGGCCUACCAAGGCGACGAUCAGUAGCUGGUCUGAGAGGACGACCAGCCACACUGGGACUGAGACACGGCCCAGACUCCUACGGGAGGCAGCAGUGGGGAAUUUUGGACAAUGGGCGAAAGCCUGAUCCAGCAAUGCCGCGUGUGUGAAGAAGGCCUUCGGGUUGUAAAGCACUUUUGUCCGGAAAGAAAUCCUUGGUUCUAAUAUAGCCGGGGGAUGACGGUACCGGAAGAAUAAGCACCGGCUAACUACGUGCCAGCAGCCGCGGUAAUACGUAGGGUGCGAGCGUUAAUCGGAAUUACUGGGCGUAAAGCGUGCGCAGGCGGUUUGCUAAGACCGAUGUGAAAUCCCCGGGCUCAACCUGGGAACUGCAUUGGUGACUGGCAGGCUAGAGUAUGGCAGAGGGGGGUAGAAUUCCACGUGUAGCA